rnacentral:misc_RNA from 1 species
GAUGAAGAACGCAGCGAAAUGCGAUAAGUAGUGUGAAUUGCAGAAUUCAGUGAAUCAUCGAAUCUUUGAACGCACAUUGCGCCCCUUGGUAUUCCAUGGGGCAUGCCUGUUCGAGCGUCAUUUGUACCUUCAAGCUUUGCUUGGUGUUGGGUGUUUGUCUCGCCUUUGCGUGUAGACUCGCCUUAAAAUAAUUGGCAGCCGGCGUAUUGAUUUCGGAGCGCAGUACAUCUAGCGCUUUGCACUCAUAACGACAGCGUCCAAAAGUACAUUUUACACUCUUGACCUCGGAUCAGGUAGGGAUACCCGCUGAACUUAAGCAUAUCAAUAAGCGGAGGA